rnacentral:rRNA from 1 species
UACGGGGGGGGUAAGCGUUGUUCGGAAUUACUGGGCGUAAAGGGCUCGUAGGCGGCCAACUAAGUCGGACGUGAAAUCCCUCGGCUUAACCGGGGAACUGCGUCCGAUACUGGAUGGCUUGAGUUCGGGAGAGGGAUGCGGAAUUCCAGGUGUAGCGGUGAAAUGCGUAGAUAUCUGGAGGAACACCGGUGGCGAAGGCGGCAUCCUGGACCGACACUGACGCUGAGGAGCGAAAGCCAGGGGAGCAAACGGG